rnacentral:rRNA from 1 species
GUAGGUGGCAAGCGUUGUCCGGAAUUAUUGGGCGUAAAGCGCGCGCAGGUGGUUCUUUAAGUCUGAUGUGAAAGCCCCCGGGCUCAACCGGGGAGGGUCAUUGGAAACUGGGGAACUUGAGUGCAGGAGAGGAAAGUGGAAUUCCACGUGUAGCGGUGAAAUGCGUAGAUAUGUGGAGGAACACCAGUGGCGAAGGCGACUUUCUGGCCUGUAACUGACACUGAGGCGCGAAAGCGUGGGAGCAAACAGGAUUAGAUACCCUGGUAGUCCACGCCGUAAACGAUGAGUGCUAAGUGUUGGGGGGUUUCCGCCCCUCAGUGCUGCAGCUAACGCAUUAAGCACUCCGCCUGGGGAGUACGGUCGCAAAGACUG